CACGUAUUUAGCCGGAGCUUCUUACUCAGGUACCGUCAUUUUCUUCCCUGCUGAUAGAGCUUUACAUACCGAAAUACUUCUUCGCUCACGCGGCGUCGUUGCAUCAGGGUUUCCCCCAUUGUGCAAUAUUCCCCACUGCUGCCUCCCGUAGGAGUCUGGGCCGUGUCUCAGUCCCAAUGUGGCCGUCCACCCUCUCAGGCCGGCUACUGAUCGUCGCCUUGGUGGGCCGUUGCCCCGCAACAAGCUAAUCAGACGCGGGCCCAUCCUGCACCGCCAAAGCUUUUCGCACCGCUUCAUGCGAAGCUGUGCGCUUAUGCGGUAUUAGCAGCCGUUUCCGGCUGUUGUCCCCCUGUGCAGGGCAGGUUGCCCACGCGUUACUCACCCGUCCGCCACUCACGUCGCCCGGCCUUCCUCUCCGAAGACGACUCCGUCCGAGCGCUUCGUUCGACUUGCAUGUGUUAGGCACGCCGCCAGCGUUCACUCCGUGACGCCGAGGAUA
rnacentral:rRNA from 1 species